rnacentral:rRNA from 1 species
AUACAUGAGCAAAAUCUCAACUUUAUUAGAAGAGACGCAUUUAUUAGAUAAAAAGCCAAUGCAUGCUUUUACAGUAUGGAAAUUGGUGAUUUAUAAUAACUUAGCAAAUCGCAAAGUGAAAACAGGCGAUAAAUCAUUCAAGUUUCUGACCUAUCAGCUUUCGACGGUAUGGUAUUGGCUUACCGUGGCAGUGACGGUUAACGGGGGAUUAGGGUUCGAUUCCGGAGAGGGAGCCUGAGAAACGGCUACCACAUCUAAGGAAGGCAGCAGGCGCGCAAAUUACCCAAUUCUAACAGUUUGAGAGAGGUAGUAACAAGAAAUAACAAUACAAGGCAAUUAAAAUGCUUUGUAAUUGGAAUGAUAGAAAUUUAAACCCUUUUUAAAGUAUCAAUUGGAGGGCAAGUCUGGUGCCAGCAGCCGCGGUAAUUCCAGCUCCAAUAGCGUAUAUUAAAAUUGUUGCAGUUAAAAAGCUCGUAGUUGAAGUUCUGCUAAAAGUAACCGGUCUGCUUUUAAUAAAAGUGGUAUCUUGGUGUGUAUUUAGCAAUGAUGUCCUUUGAAGUGUUUUUUACUUUAUUGUAAUAAAGCAUAUUCAGGACUUUUACUUUGAGAAAAUUAGAGUGUUUCUAGCAGGCUGACGCUUUGAAUACUGCAGCAUGGAAUAAUAAG